rnacentral:rRNA from 1 species
AGUGAACGCUGGCGGUAGGCCUAACACAUGCAAGUCGAACGGCAGCACAGUAAGAGCUUGCUCUUACGGGUGGCGAGUGGCGGACGGGUGAGGAAUACAUCGGAAUCUACUUUUUCGUGGGGGAUAACGUAGGGAAACUUACGCUAAUACCGCAUACGACCUACGGGUGAAAGCAGGGCAUCUUCGGACCUUGCGCGAUUGAAUGAGCCGAUGUCGGAUUAGCUAGUUGGCGGGGUAAAGGCCCACCAAGGCGACGAUCCGUAGCUGGUCUGAGAGGGUGAUCAGCCACACUGGAACUGGGACACGGUCCAGACUCCUACGGGAGGCAGCAGUGGGGAAUAUUGGGCAAUGGGCGCAAGCCUGAUCCAGCCAUACCGCGUGGGUGAAGAAGGCCUUCGGGUUGUAAAGCCCUUUUGUUGGGAAAGAAAAGCAGCAGGUUAAUACCCCGCUGUUCUGACGGUACCCAAAGAAUAAGCACCGGCUAACUUCGUG